CCAUUCAUAACCAGUAUUUAUAAUUGUAGGUAACGAUGGUGUAACUGCCCACUAUCAGAGUAUUUUUUGUUCAUCGGGCCUCUCUGAGUAGGGCUGUGGGUCAUGGCUUUUCCUACUACCAUUGCUGGAGCCAGAGGUGGAAAGUUCAGGUCCAGAAAGUACAAACCCAGCCCAAGAUUCUGUUCCAACCAACCAGUUGAGUAUUAAGAGUCACGGUCACGAAGUACUCAACUUGGUUGGUUGGAACAAAAUUUCCGUCUGGAUUUUUAUUUUCUGCACCUGAAAUUUCCUCGUCUGGCUGGUGCUCAUGUCAACAGGAAGACAAACCUAUGGAACCAUCGGUGCCAAAAGACGGAGCUGUAAAGAGCCCUCCGAAGGAUGGGGCGAAUGCCAGUGGACCGGCCCAUUCCGAGUAUCCCAGGCAGCCUCAUUUAGAUGCACGUUAGAGUUUCAGAGGUGGCAUGAGGUACCGCUGGAUCCUUGGUGCAGCACGAGAAGGGGACCCCGCACUUUUCCCGGCUGGGAUUCGACUCCGUGCAGUUGAAGUAGAUGUUGAGGUUCCAGUCGUCAGCUCCGAACGCACCGCAGCACUCCCACUGCGCAGACACAAGGUGGAGCCAGUCAGCCAAAACCAGAGUGCCUUCCCAGCAUUCAGCACACAUCGCUGACGCUCCUCCAGUGUGGAGCUCCACGGCAAACAAAGCGGGACAUUAUCUGCAUGAAAGCUACACUGUUCCUCUGUCUCCGGCCCUGAGACACGGCCAGGCAAGAGAUCUACUGCGAGAACAAAAACUCUUGUUCUCCGAUUUCCAGCUUAAUUAAAUUUCUGAUCCAGUCGCCCAGAAAUGUACCCAAGUAGAGAACCACCAACAACACGUCAGAAGCACAAUCAAGUUCUUUUGGCAUCAUUAAAAGAUGCGAGCCCCCCUCCCACUGCAUUUCUUCAGUGUCCUGGACGGGGGAGGGACAAUAAAUGAUUCUUUUCUUAACCACAUUGCCACACUCAGGUUUGAUGUUCAAUAAUAGCUGAAUAACUCUACAAUGUAUGCAGAUAUUUCAAUACCCAGAUUUAAAACCAAUUGUAUCAGUUAUCCUGAGCGUUUUUAACUCAUUAACUGUACCAUGUAUAGGCAUGAAUAUCCCAAGGCUGUCGUCAGUUAGGUGAUACAGCAAGUCAUUCAACUGACCCUAAUUACUAAUAUUAUAAGUAAGUAAGACUCUUACUUACUAAUAUUAUAAAAAGGACUAUUUCAGCUCUCAGGCCCAGAACACAUGACUCCGAUGCCCAGCCCCACAGCCCUUUCCGAAGGCCAUUUCAUUUCCUUUUGUGUCUCCCAUUGUGCCAAAUCCAAAAUAGCUAUCAUUAAUUUUCAUUCGUCUUUUGUUACACUCGUGUCCAUCUUUCCCGUUCACGUGGUUCAGUCCAUUUCCUCCCAGAGCAAGUCUUAUGUAACACUUUACAGACAAGCUGGAAUUUUAGAGAGACGUUAACCAAAAACACAACUCCGAGCUGUGUGGCCCACUGGUUGCCAUGGAAACAGCCUUCUCAGAACAGGCGUUGCGGUACAGGGCCCAUGUGCUCUUACAUAGUCCUGGGUGAAGUCGAUCAUGUUCUGCAGGUCGAUGUCAUCUCGGUAUGCUCGGAUGUUGUUGUUGAUGAAGAAGUUGAGCUGGUCCUUGAUCCAGUCCUUGAAAACGAAGGCCAGGAUUCCGGCUGUAAGCUCCAGGAAGAAGAUAAUCCCCAGGAACACGGAGAACUGCACAGGAAAGGGUAGGGGGUGGUGUGGAACGGGUAAAUGUAACUUUCAGAUCACACUUCAAGUAGUUUACAUUCAAUGACUGGCUCACACUGUACCUUAUAGAAACAGACAUGUGGUUACAACAAAAUCGUGUUCAGUCUUGGAUUACAUUUAUUUUGAAAGCAUUUACCCAAUAUCAAAUUAGAAGUUUGAGGUUUUCUAGAUAGAAAUGUUACGGUUGUUAUAAAUCAAGAAGCCACAACCAGUGGCGUAAGCUUCUUAUAAUUGCUCCCAUAUUAGAUUUUUUAUUUUGGAAGGCCCCCCUCCUCGCACACAUGUCCAUGUGCGCAAACGAAGCGUCCGACCCUUUAUGGUUAAAUGUUACAGAUGUACCAUUCAUCUUUGUGAAAUAUCCUCACAAUACAAACUUUUAUAGCCUUGUCAUAAAAGAAAAGUUAGGAAUUGGACACGCUGAGCGAGACAGAUUUGCCAGCCAGGUAAAGGGCACAUAAAUCAUUUGGGGCUUCAUGAUCCAAUGUAAUGUGCGUUGGUUAUUUAAACUAAUUGAUCAAUAGGCUCCUGAUCAUCCUUGCGAAGGGGCCCAUCGACUCUACAAGGGGCCCCCUCUUUCUGUGGGCCCAGUGCGGCUGGUGCAGCUAUAGUUCUGCCAGUGCACAGCACCAUCCGUCCCAUAACAUGCAGAUAAUUUAAAGUUGAAACGCUGUCCAGGUCUAUUGUGAGCCUACAAAGUACCAGGAAUGUGGGCGAGCCUUUUUUCAGUCCAUCAAAAUUAUCACCAAAUUGCAGGAAGCUGGUCUCUCAUUAUCUUAAAAACAUCCAAAGUCAAAACAAACUCCCAAAAAUACUUCUAGCAGGACAUUCAGAUUAUAUCCUGUUUAUUGCUAUACUGAACUCACGCUUUCACUUCAGUAAAUCUCCCCGCUUGGGGUAGAACGAAAUUAAGCUGAAAAAGCCGAAUCUCCUUGACAACCUCCCGUAAAGUUGAACUGAAAUCUGUAGGGGAAUUUGACAUGAUGACAUCAUGUUCUUAGUUCCCGUGUUUCUCAGUCUGCGUUGUGACACGCACACAGCAUGGGCGAGUGCAUAAGAGGCAGUGUGAGAGGUGGUGGACAUACAAACUUAAGUAGAAAGGUGUUCUCCCGCAGUGCGCCGAUGCAUCCAGCGAAGCCCAGGAUGAACAUGACCCCCCCGACCACGAGGAAGAGCCAGACUGGGUCGAAGCCCCCCAGGUCUGUGAUGGAGGAGAGGUUGGAGAGCACCCCCU